UACGAAGGGGGCUAGCGUUGCUCGGAAUUACUGGGCGUAAAGGGCGCGUAGGCGGCACUGUUAGUCAGGCGUGAAAGUCCUGGGCUCAACCUGGGAACUGCGCUUGAUACGGCAGAGCUAGAGGGAUGGAAGAGGGUCGCGGAAUUCCCAGUGUAGAGGUGAAAUCGUAGAUAUUGGGAAGAACACCGGUGGCGAAGGCGGCGACCUGGUCCAUUACUGACGCUGAGGCGCGACAGCGUGGGGAGCAAACGAGGAUUGA
rnacentral:rRNA from 1 species